CCCCAACGAAGGCAUCCCGAAUGGGAUUAAAGAUUUUAUCGGUGAUGGAUGGGGAUGCGUCUGAUUAGCUUGUUGGCGGGGUAACGGCCCACCAAGGCUACGAUCAGUAGGGGUUCUGAGAGGAAGGUCCCCCACAUUGGAACUGAGACACGGUCCAAACUCCUACGGGAGGCAGCAGUGAGGAAUAUUGGUCAAUGGGCGAGAGCCUGAACCAGCCAAGUAGCGUGCAGGAUGACGGCCCUAUGGGUUGUAAACUGCUUUUAUAAGGGAAUAAAGUGGGUCUCGUGAGACUUUUGCAUGUACCUUAUGAAUAAGGACCGGCUAAUUCCGUG
rnacentral:rRNA from 1 species